rnacentral:rRNA from 1 species
GCACGGGGAGGUAGUGACAAAAAAUAACGAUACGGGACUCAUCCGAGGCCCCGUAAUCGGAAUGAGAACAUCCUAAAUCCUUUAACGAGGAUCUAUUGGAGGGCAAGUCUGGUGCCAGCAGCCGCGGUAAUUCCAGCUCCAAUAGCGUAUAUUAAAGUUGUUGCGGUUAAAAAGCUCGUAGUUGGUUCUGCGUGCCACGCUGUCGGUUCACCGCCUGUCGGUGCAACUGGCAUGUCGUGGCAUGUCCUGCCGGUGGCGGAUAGGCUUCGCGGCGCUCCCUACACGAUACGUCAUGUAGGUCGUCGCGUCGUCCUUGUACGCCGACUCAAUCCUACCGCGGUGCUCUUUACCGAGUGUCGAGGUAGGCCGGCACAUUUUACUUUGAACAAAUUAGAGUGCUUAAAGCAGGCUCUUAAAUCAGCCUGAAUAGUGGUGCAUGGAAUAAUGGAACAGGACCUUGGUUCUAUUUUGUUGGUUUUAGGAAUCCAAGGUAAUGAUCAAUAAGGACAGGCGGGGGCAUUCGUAUUGCGACGUUAGAGGUGAAAUUCUUGGAUCGUCGCAAGACGCACUAGAGCGAAAGCAUUUGCCAAGUAUGUCUUAAUUGAUCAAGAACGAAAGUUAGAGGUUCGAAGGCGAUCAGAUACCGCCCUAGUUCUAACCAUAAACGAUGCCAGCCAGCGAUCCGCCGAUGUUCUUUCGAUGACACGGCGGGGAGCUUUCCCCGGGAAACCAAAGCUUUUGGGUUCCGGGGGAAGUAUGGUUGCAAAGCUGAAACUUAAAGGAAUUGACGGAAGGGCACCACCAGGAGUGGAGCCUGCGGCUUAAUUUGACUCAACACG